AUCUUUUUUAUUAAUAUGGGCUCUCAAAAAAAAUUAUGCUGUUAUCCCUAAGGUAAUUAAUAUUUUUAAUUUAAAAAUUAAGAUAUAAUUUUCAUUUAUAAGUGUUUUUUUAAAAAAAAAUUUAUUUAAUUUUUUAAUUACCCCAAUUAAAUUUAUUUUAUUUAAAAGAUUUUUAAAUAAAUAAAUAAAAUUCUUUAGGGUCUUAUCGUCUUUAUAGAAAAUUUAAGUUUUUUUACUUAAAUAAUAAAUUUAAUUAUAUUUAAUUGAGACAGUUUUUAUUUCAUUUAAUCUUUCAUUCUAGUUUUUAAUUAAAAAACAAAUUAUUAUGCUACCUUAGUACAGUUAAAAAUACUGCAGCCAUU
rnacentral:rRNA from 1 species